UGUGAUCAUGAUCUUGUCCCUGACAAAAUGUCAAGUUUAGAAAAAUGUGUUUCAUGUGGAGGACCUUUUGCACCUCUGAAAUGGAGUGGUGUGAGAUGUAAAGUUUGCAACCAGUCCUGGCACAAAAAGUGUUAUGUUAAACACAAGGUGGACAUCACUGAACUUCUGCAAGUGGUCUGUACAGAACCAAGUUCAAGUGAGGUGGUAUCAUCAGAAGAGGAGUAUGUUCCUGAUUCCAUAGAUGAUUCAAACAGCUCGUGCGAUGACAGAUCAGAGCCUUUAAAAAUCAGUUACAAACAAGUACAGAAUUGUGAGGUCUCCACCAGCAAGUCUUCUUCCAAAAACAAAAGACACCACCAAGAAAGUUUUGUAGAGGAAAACAGAGAGCCCGUUUCUGAAGCUGCAGAAUCAUCAACUGAAGAUAUGAUCAGCACAAGUCAGCUUGAAGUAUCAAGAGUUACUGGCAAUAUAGGAAACGCUG